CCAGGAGCAGGGUUGGAGACCCCUGCCCUAUGGUUUCGUGGACUUAACGGACACGCGGACGCCGCGGCCAUUCUCUCCACAGGUGAUCUUGAGCUCCAUGUGAUCCAGAACUGAUGGGCUUUUGUCAGCCUCGAUGCUAAGGGCUUUUCUGGUCUGCCUAAAGAAGCUUUACAACUCAUCAUAACUGUGAUAACCAGCAGAGUGGCUCUCUGCUGGCCUGGAAGUUGUGAGGCAAGAUUCUGGAUGGGUCCUUUGGAUGAGAUAUAUGGAGUCUGCACAGAGAAUGAUACAGAGCCUGCAGCAGGUUGAAUAUUUGGAAGUAAAAAACAAACUGAGGGGACAAAUAGAACUCCAACAGCUAAUGAAGAAGAAAGUUGCACUAGAAAUGGUGGCUGCACAAGGAACUUCAGAAGAUGGAAGCAGCUGUCCCAUUAUUCCUAAUCAUACUCCCACAACUUUAUUUCCUGCACCAGCUGGCUUUGAGCUUUAUUCCGGGCAUCGGUGAAGAUGAAGUACUGAGUUGUAUGGUUGUCUGCUCUGCCAAUGACAAACUCCAGCAUCUCCCUAUCACCCUGAAGAAUGAUACGUGCGUUCUCCUCCUGAUACUGGUCAGAGUGCUGCAGCAAGUGCUGAAAACACGUGAGCAGAUCUUUCCUCAUUUCUUCACUCUUCUCCAGGUGUGUCUUUGUCUUCAGGAUCUUCUCUAGGGGCAGCGUUUUGCCCAAGAAAAUUCUCUGGCGUGGAGGGUGUGCAGGGGCUGAUGAGUGCUGUACAUGAGGUGCAGGUCUCCACAGGUGAUCUUGAGCUCCAUGUGAUCCAGAACUGAUGGAUUAUUUUCAGCCUUCGCUGCUCAGGACUUUUUUAGCCUGCUCAAAGCAGCUUUCCAACUCAUCAUGACAGUGAUGUCCAGCAAAGUGGCUAUCUGCCAGGCUGGAGGUUGUGAGUCGAGAUUCCAGAUGGGUCCUUUGGAGGAGCUGUGGCCCCUUUGAGCCCAGAUGUACCAUGUAGGACAGGGCAGGUGUUCUGGUGGUGAUACGCACCAGGUGGCGCUCUCCUUCCAGUGUUAGAGAGAUGUCACACCGCUUGGAUGCAGGAAAGGCCUCCAGGGCUCGGAUUGAAAAGUCAAGAUUGGUUUUCAGGUGCGAGUUCAGCAAUCCUUCCUGACGGAUUUUCCAUUUCACAGAGAGAAGGCAGUCCAGAUCAAGAGAGGGUAGAGUGAAAUAUCUCCUUUUGGGAAGAAAUAAACAAAUGAGCAUUGAUUGUAUGGAAAAUAUAUGGUAACCUUAGAAAGAAUAAAUAAGUUUGGACAAACUUUUUUUUGUCCUAAAUUUUAAUGAUUUUAAUAAUGAACUUUCUCAUAUCAAAUUAUUUUUCAUUUUGUAACAGUAAAUCUCAAAGAGAUAACAUACAUACAGGAUUCAGAGUUACUUCACAAGAAGCCUGUUUAGCGAAACAAAACAUAUUGGCCCAGUUAACAACCAGAAAUACAGGUGAUCUGGGUUAAAAUGCAAAACAUCAACAAAAACUCUACUGGAUCGCAUGAUAGACAU
ensembl:lncRNA